CGGACGGGUGAGUAACGCGUGACCGACCUGCCCAGAGAUGGGGGACAACCCCGGGAAACCGGGGCUGAUACCGCAUACGCUCGUUCGCCGGUGGGGUGGAUGAGGAAAGUCGCAAGGCGUCUCUGGAGGGGGCUGCGUCCGAUUAGCUUGUUGGCGGGGUGAUGGCCCACCAAGGCGACGAUCGGUAGCGGGUCUGAGAGGAUGGUCCGCCACAGGGGGACUGAGACACGGCCCCCACACCUACGGGUGGCAGCAGCGAGGGAUUUUCGGCAAUGGGCGCAAGCCUGACCGAGCAACGCCGCGUGCGGGACGACGCCCUUCGGGGUGUAAACCGCUUUUCCCGGGGACGAGACUGACGGUACCCGGGGAAUAAGUCUCGGCUAACUACGUGCCAGCAGCCGCGGUAAGACGUAGGAGACAAGCGUUGUCCGGAGUUACUGGGCGUAAAGCGCGCGCAGGCGGCUCUGUACGCUGCCGGUGAAAGCUCCCGGCUCACCUGGGAGAGGUUCGGCAGAACGGCAGGGCUUGAGGGCGGUAGAGGGUGGUGGAAUUCCCGGUGUAGUGGUGAAAUGCGUAGAGAUCGGGAGGAACACCCGUGGCGAAGGCGGCCACCUGGACCGGUCCCUGACGCUGAGGCGCGAAGGCCGGGGGAGCGAAUGGGAUUAGAUACCCCAGUAGUC
rnacentral:rRNA from 1 species